GGGAGUACAGCUCAGUGGCAGAGUGUGUGCUUGGUGUACACGAGGUCCUAGGUUCAAUCCCCAGUUCCUCUG
rnacentral:tRNA from 1 species